AAAGAAUUAGUUAAUAAAUAACGUAUGCUUGUCAAGCCUAAAUUAUUCUCCUAGAAUAUUUUUUA
rnacentral:tRNA from 1 species